rnacentral:rRNA from 1 species
GUGGGGAAUAUUGGACAAUGGGCGCAAGCCUGAUCCAGCAAUGCCGCGUGGGUGAAGAAGGUCUUCGGAUCGUAAAGCCCUUUCGACAGGGACGAUGAUGACGGUACCUGUAGAAGAAGCCCCGGCUAACUUCGUGCCAGCAGCCGCGGUAAUACGAAGGGGGCUAGCGUUACUCGGAAUUACUGGGCGUAAAGGGCGCGUAGGCGGCUCUGUUAGUCAGGCGUGAAAUUCCUGGGCUUAACCUGGGGACUGCGCUUGAUACUGCAGGGCUUGAGGCCGAGAGAGGGUGGUGGAAUUCCCAGUGUAGAGGUGAAAUUCGUAGAUAUUGGGAAGAACACCGGUGGGAAGGCGACCACCUGGCUCGGUUCUGACGCUGAGGCGCGACAGCGUGGGGAGCAAACAGGAUUAGAAACCCGGGUAGUCC